rnacentral:rRNA from 1 species
CCUACGGGAGGCAGCAGUGGGGGAUAUUGCACAAUGGGGGAAACCCUGAUGCAGCGACGCCGCGUGGGCGAAGAAGUAUUUCGGUAUGUAAAGCCCUAUCAGCAGGGAAGAAGAAAUGACGGUACCUGAGUAAGAAGCACCGGCUAAAUACGUGCCAGCAGCCGCGGUAAUACGUAGGGUGCAAGCGUUAUCCGGAUUUACGGGGUGGAAAGGGAGCGCAGGCGGCACGGCAAGCCUGAUGUGAAAGCCCGCGGCCCAACCGCGGGACUGCAGUGGGAACUACCGGGCUGGAGUGCCGGAGAGGUAGGCGGAAUUCCUAGUGUAGCGGUGAAAUGCGUAGAUAUUAGGAGGAACACCAGUGGCGAAGGCGGCCUACUGGACGGUGACUGACGCUGAGGCUCGAAAGCGUGGGGAGCAAACAGGAUUAGAUACCCCUGUAGUC